rnacentral:tRNA from 1 species
GCCUCUCGUGGGUGCAGUGGAACAGCGACGCUCUCCGAAAAGCGCGCGCGUGUGUUCGACUCACGCCCGGGGGCA